UCGGUGUACCUUCCCAUUAAUCAACAACAUAUCAACCCCAAUAUCUUUCUCCUUUCUUAACAUUUCAAGCUUGCCAAAAUUGUUGUAGCCUAGUUUGAACAUCUCUACACUGAUUUGUCUUUAACUCCGAGCAAUGAAACUGGAAAUUCGACAAUGAUUGAAUUGGAAAAAGUAAAGGGAGUAUCGUCUGAACUCUCACACCAUCUAUACAUCUUUAUAUAUAAAGUAUAGUUCCCUCUCUCCAGGGCCCUCCACAUCAGAUGCCAGCGCAACAAUUCGAGCUCUGCCAUGCCGCCACGUGUCCUGUUAUUUAAAACUCAGCGAUUCAUAAUUUUGUCUACCAUCUGGGCUUUGUCUGAAAAUUGGACUUAAGUUUGUAUUUCGUUUUCAGCCCAGCGACCACUUUGCUCUGCGCUAACCCCAAUUCGUGUGGGUGAAAAGGGUUUGUUCUUCGGCAUAGACGGUGACUGUCGAGAUUUGUAGCCAUUUCUAUAAUGGAUCGCGUUACGUUUUCCAUUGAUUCAACUUCAUUAAGGAGAUCUUAACUAUUUCAAUACACUGCAACCAAGAUCAGUCAUUCAAUGAAUCUUAUCCCUCCUCCAAGUAGUAGAUCUCCACCUAUAAAAAAAUUCAGACCCAUCCCUUGAGAAUCAUUCUCACGCUUCCAAAAGCUUUUGUAAAUUUCGUCUCUCUGAUUCGAGAGUUUCCCGUGUUGCUCGGAAUUGUUAUGUUGCUCGAUCUUACCAGAGCAUUCGGAUCUAGAUCUGGCGGGGUUGGGCGGUUCCAGUAAGCAACAUAGCUUGGAUCGCUUCAUAUCGGUGGUGGCAACGACAACUAACAAAGCCAACUCCCGAGAAUGCUGGUGGUUUCAUUGAUUAAGAUUCCGCCUACACAAGCAGUGGAGCUUCUCUAUUUGAGUGAUUCGUCGUCUUCCUAAGCGGUGAACAACAGUUUAGAUCCACCGCCGCUUCACCUUACCGGACAUACUUCCCUUCUAACUCAGCCAUCUUGGAUCCUUCUCGGUGAUUGCUGAUGAGUUGCAGCAAAACGGUAACGUCUCCGGUGAAAUUAUUACUAGAAGUUGGGUACCUUCUAACUCCGACUCUAAUCUGGAUAGAGUAAAAAAAUAAUAGAAAACUAAUAACUUUAUACAAACGCUGAAAAUGGAUGCUUUUCUGAUUAUCAGGUAUGCAACACCUGUAACAAAUGACUGGUGAGUGUCUCUGCAAGGAUUUUGGAUGAGUUUUGUUUCUUUUUUGUCUUUUUUGGAUGGAUUUUGUUAAAUACGCAUAGCGUGCAUUCGUAAUUCCAAGUGCUUCACAUUUACUUUCUCAAAACUAAUUAAUUUCUAAUAAGUUUUGUUUACGAGUUCAUGUUUCCAAACAGCUUUGUUUCUACUUUCUAUUUAUAUAUCCCUAUUUAAACGUGUCAUAAGUGGAUGGUCUGACUCAAAGAUAAUAUAAUGGUUAUAUACCCUCAAGAAUGAUAUGCUGAAACCAGAGACUCUACUUAGAUCGCUUUCUGCAAAUCCCAAAUUGAGUGUACCAUCCUAGUGAUGUAGGUGCUAGCCUUUGUGUAUUGAUGGGCUUGCCAUCGAGCUUCAUAAAAGACUAGAAAGCUUAUGUCUGGAAACCAAGGUUGUUUUAUCCAUGUCGCAAUCAGAUCUAUGUCUCUGCAGAGCAUAAUCAAUAUGCUAACGCAAGAAACAGGGAAGGAUGAUAUAAAGUUGGGCAUAUCCGAAGGACUCUUUCACAUGAAUUUUUUGAGAAGAUGGUGAAGGAUAGAUAAUGAAUCUGUAGGAAAGUGAAGGCCAAGGGUUUAAGAAACAAGUAGCGAGAAAGAAAGAGAAGCGUACAUAGCUUAGUGGAUGUCAGACUGAUCAAACUUUAGAGUAAGCACCAAGGAAGAAGCCUAUGGAAGAUAAUAUAACAAAUACUUUCUGAGACAAAAUGGUCAGAACAUCACAAACAAAUAAUUGGUUUUAGGUUUGAGAUAGCUUCUUGACUAUAAAUGUUAUGCUCCACAACUUGGGCUGUAUUUCACCGAUAGUCGGAUGCUCCAUUCAUAUGCUAAAAUGAAUUCAGAUUUUAGUUUCUUUAAAGUAUUCAGAAGUUUGUGGUUGAAUCAGUUUAUUUGGCUUUGUUUCAUUUGAAUUAAAUAAAUAAAUUUUUGGCCU